rnacentral:rRNA from 1 species
GAUGAACGCUGGCGGCGUGCUUAACACAUGCAAGUCGAGCGAAGCACUCCAUUGGAUUUCUUCGGAUUGAAGAUGGUUUGACUGAGCGGCGGACGGGUGAGUAACGCGUGGGUAACCUGCCUUACACAGGGGGAUAACAGUUAGAAAUGACUGCUAAUACCGCAUAACCCGCUAGGGUCACAUGGCCCGGACGGAAAAGAUUUUAUCGGUGUAAGAUGGACCCGCGUCUGAUUAGCUGGUUGGUGAGGUAACGGCCCACCAAGGCGACGAUCAGUAGCCGACCUGAGAGGGUGAUCGGCCACAUUGGGACUGAGACACGGCCCAA